rnacentral:lncRNA from 1 species
AACAAUUCAACCCAUUACACUAAUUUUCUCGACACAAACGUGAGAUGGAACUGGAGGCGAGGCGGGAGCAGGAGCGUGAAAUAAUUGAAGCCGCCUAAAACCUAGGGAGCUGUAAUCAACAUUUACGUUGGUUGAUUAUAAAUCGACGCCUAGAAAACUAACGAUGUAGAAUAUUGAAGUGUCGAAUGUCUAAAUCGACCGAAUCCCAAUUUCUAAAUCUGAUUUCUUCUACUCUUCUAUUUCUAAUUCCCAUUUGGCGAUUCAUGUGGGUUGAAGACGUACUAAGAUUGUCAAUCGUCUAUUUCUGGAACCCAAUUCUGAUUUCACCUAUUCUCCUCUGUUUUUAUCGCUAGUCUGAUUCGGUAUUUUGGUGAUUCCCGAUUUGUAUGAGUUGGAGUUUGAACUGUUAAGAUAAGGAGGUAUUUCGGUAAUUUUCUGUUCAAAAUAUGCAUCUUUCAUUUCAUAUUUAUUUGUUUUUGUUACAUUAGUUUCAUGAGUUUGCUUCGUCUCUGUUUGUUGGGUUUUUUUUUGGUAGUUUGCUUAAGAGGAGUUCGAAUAUGUACUGAAUUGUUUAAUUCAAAAUCAGGAAUUCACAGUUUUGGUUUCUCAGCUAAGUAGUUACAUAUGAUGAUUUAAUGAUAUUCGUUUGAUAUUUGGAUUUAUUAAUUUGUUGAAAAAAUAUGUAUUAUUGUUUGUUUUGCAGAUAUUAUCGAUUCUUUCGGCAUAAAAUGUUUUUUAAUUGUGGAUCUCAUUCUAAUAUGUUAUACUCUAGUUUUGUCUAGGAAGUGGGAAUUGCAAUUGGAAGCACUCAAGGUUAAUCCAGGAUCCCUAAUCACCAACCGAAAAUAGAUUUGUACUUGGAAAUUGGAGAUUUGCACUUGGCAGACGAUUUUUUUUGUUAUUUGCUUCAACGUUUCUUUUGCUUAUGAAAUUUGCUAAUACUUAUUAUGUUUUAGUUUUUGUAUUUUUUAAUGAGACUAGACUGUUUAGUAUCUAAUACAAUCAUUUUUAAUAUUGUGUAUACUUUUUUUUCCCUACAAAUGUCUUUUGGUGUAUCCUAUUUGGUGUCGAUGGUUUUUUGCAAAUAAUUUUUAGCUAAUAUUAUGUGUCUUGCGUACUCUAUAGUUGUUAGGAUUAUAUAAUGUUUUGGUUAUUAGAGUUUUUAAAUGGUGAUGAUUUAUUUGCAACUCUGUUUACUAUUAAUUUCCAUUUUUUGUUACAAUAAGUAAAAUGAGGAUAUUUUUUUAGGAGUAUAAUUUUGUGUUGCAUAUGAGUUUCGAACAAUUAUAGGGGGCAUUAUUAUUUUUUUCACCCAAGGCAUGAAAAACCAAUGGACCGGCCCUGGGUAUAGUUUUGGGCCUGGGAACUUGGAAUUAGAAGUUUUGGGCCUUUUGGGCCAUAUUGGGCCACUAAGAUUAUUUCAUUUUGGGCUAAAGACUUCUUAGAAUUAUGAAAAGGCCCAUUUGACGGGUUUGGCUCAAUUUAGAAAAAUUAGGCCAUUAAUGGGCCCUUAGAUAGCCUUUGAUGGGCCAUGGGUGCAUUGGAUUCAAUAAGUUAGAAUUGGGCCUUAGGAAUGGUUUAAGUUAUGCCAAGGGGGUAAAAUGGUCAUUUUACCCUAAGUAGUGUUAUAGAUUCUGAUUGAGUGUUAUUGUGAUUAUGGUAGCCGGGAGUCAUCGGAGCAGCUGAUAGAGAUUACUUCCCAUGACUCUCAGCUUUACAAGGUGAGUUACCUUCUAGUAGAAGUGAGUCUAAGGCCACAAUGUCGGCCCACUAGUAGAAGCUUGUAGUUAGAUGAUUAUAUGUGUGAUAAUUGUUUGGUAUGCCAUUAUUUGUUAUGUCCUAUGUGCCAGUAUGUUAUGAUUCUAUGUGGUAGUGGUAGAGUGAAAUAGUACCCGAUAUCCGGUUAAAAUAGACCGAAGGGGAGGCUAGCACCUAGAUAUGCUAGGUAAUUAUCCCGGUUGAAAUAGACCAAAGGGGAUGCCAACACCCAGAUAUGCUAGGCAGAUAUCCGGUUGAGAUAGACCGAAGGGGAGGCCGGCACCCAGAUAUGUCUAGCUUGAUAUGUUAUUGUAUGGUAUGCGGUAUGGUGGGAGAACUCACUAAGCUUUGUGCUUACAGUUUUCAGAUUUGGUUUCAGGUACCUCUUCGUUAAAGGGGAAGGAGUUGGCACGGUAGCAGCGCAUGACACACACAUGAUUCCGCAUUUUAAGAUCUAUGGGAUUGUACUCUGAUAUUAUUAUUAUUAUUCCACGACAUGUUUUGUGAUAUUUGACUUAUGAUAUUACGGA